GCCAGGUAUGGUGGCGCAUGCCUGUAGUCCCAGCUACUCAGGAGACUGAGGUGGGAGGAUCGCUUCAGCCCAGGAGUUCUGGGCUGUAGUGCGCUAUGCCAAUCAGGUGUCCGCACUAAGUUCAGCAUCCAUAUGGUGACCUCCCGGGAGUGGGAGACCACCAGGUUGCCUAAGGAGGGGUGAACCAGCCCAGGUUGGAAAUGGAGCAGGUGAAAACUCCUAUAUGGAUCAGUGCCUGUGAAUAGCCACUGCACUCCAGCCUGGGCAACAUAGUGAGACUCGGUCUCUU
ensembl:misc_RNA Metazoa_SRP Metazoan signal recognition particle RNA